rnacentral:rRNA from 1 species
GUCUACGGCCAUGCCACCCUGAACGAGCCCGAUUCUGUCUGAUCUCAGAAGCUAAGCAGGGUUGGGCCUGGUUAGUACUUGGAUGGGAGACCACCUAGGAAGACCAGGUGCUGUAGGUG